rnacentral:lncRNA from 1 species
CCCUCCCCUUUACUCCACUUGAUCUUUUUCUUUUUCUUCUUGUAAUCUCCAAGUAGACACCACAAAGGCAGUGAUCACUUUGCAGCCUCCAUGGGUCAGCGUGUUCCAAGAGGAAACCGUAACCUUGCACUGUGAGGUGCUCCAUCUGCCUGGGAGCAGCUCCACACAGUGGUUUCUCAAUGGCACAGCCACUCAGACCUCGACCCCCAGCUACAGAAUCACCUCUGCCAGUGUCAAUGACAGUGGUGAAUACAGGUGCCAGAGAGGUCUCUCAGGGCGAAGUGACCCCAUACAGCUGGAAAUCCACAGAGGCUGGCCACUACUGCAGGUCUCCAGCAGAGUCUUCACGGAAGGAGAACCUCUGGCCUUGAGGUGUCAUGCGUGGAAGGAUAAGCUGGUGUACAAUGUGCUUUACUAUCGAAAUGGCAAAGCCUUUAAGUUUUUCCACUGGAAUUCUAACCUCACCAUUCUGAAAACCAACAUAAGUCACAAUGGCACCUACCAUUGCUCAGGCAAGGGAAAGCAUCACUACACAUCAGCAGGAAUAUCACAAUACACUGUGAAAG